UACAGAGGUCUCAACCGUUGUUCGGAUUCAUUGGGCGUAAAGGGUGCGUAGGCGGUCGUGCAAGUCGGAUGUGAAAUCUCAGGGCUCAACCCUGAAACUGCAUUCGAUACUGCGUGGCUAGAGUGCUGGAGAGGAGACUGGAAUUUACGGUGUAGCAGUGAAAUGCGUAGAUAUCGUAAGGAAGACCAGUGGCGAAGGCGAGUCUCUGGACGGCAACUGACGCUGAGGCACGAAGGCCAGGGGAGCAAACGGG
rnacentral:rRNA from 1 species